GGUAUAUAUAGUCUGUUUAACCAAAUUUUUGCCAAAUAUAUACAAUACUUCUGGUUUCGCUUACUAACUUCUAGUUUUCUGACACAGAAAGUUCCAUAUGAGAGACGUUUCUGAAGAUCAGGAGUAGAGAUCACAAAACGAAAAACUUGGUGUCAGUAACAUGUCUUGAGGAGCUAAUCAGAGUUGCUGUGGGUCAUCGAAUUUGUCAGGAAGGCGACAUACAGGUGUAUUUAGUGGAUGAGUUAUCACUUCGCUGUAUGGUUGCUGGUGCUGAGAAAUGCCUCGAUGACAUUUUCAUUGUUAAAAAUGGACUAUGGAAACAAGGUAUAGUGCAUACAUCUCCAGAUGCCACUUUGCCCUCUUGCUUGGGGCUUUAAGUGCCAUUUUUUGUUUUGCUUUCCUG